AAGCGUCCGUAGCUGGCCCUGCAAGUCCGUCGGGAAAUCACUCGCCUAACGAGUGGGCGUCCGGCGGAAACUACAGGGCUUGGGACCGGAAGACUUGAGGGGUACGUCUGGGGUAGGAGUGAAAUCCUGUAAUCCUGGACGGACCGCCGAUAGCGAAAGCACCUCAAGACGACGGAUCCGACAGUGAGGGACGAAAGCUAGGGUCUCGAAC
rnacentral:rRNA from 1 species